UUAUUUUUAUUAUAUCAGCACGAACGAGUGUCUCUGUGUGUGUGUGUGUGUGUGUGUGUGUGUGGCUCAGGCUAUUGUUUGUUGCCAGAAAUCAUAUUCAUAAAUAAAAUUUGCAUUUGGCAUUUGGGAGGAUGCGCGCAUGUGUUGCCAGUAGCAAGACCAGGACCACGGCCCGGACCCGGACCUGCCACUGGCUAAGAAAAGACCGAAUUGAAUCGAGAACGAGCAAGGACAACUGCUGCGCUGAUUCUUUCCCUUGGCUUGGGGUCUGAUUCCAUGUGUGUGUGUCUGUGUUAACUGCCCCGACAUUAUGGGAAAAUGGAAUGUCCUUUUUAGUUACGUGCCAGGCUAAUAUAUAUAAAUACGGCCUGCCCCGUGCUGACCUGACCUUUCAUAAUGCUGUCAAUUUGCUCGCCUGCCUGCACACCAAAUGCUCAGAUAUAAAUGCAAACAUAUGUAUACUCGUAAAUGUAUCUACAAUAAUGGACAAGCAGUUUCAGUUCAAUAUAAAUCGAAGAGUGUAUACCCUGGGAAAUGUUCUGCUGUUCUGCUCAAAUCAAAUCAAUCGAGCAGUCGAUGGCUGCUUAAAUAUUUAUUAUUAUGCAUAUCAAACAAUCCUUUCCAGUGGAUCCAGUCAAAGAGUUAAGCUAUUCAAGUACGAACAUUAAAUAUGCCCUCUGCAUCUCUCAUGCUCCCAUGCCCAAGUGGGACGCCCUUUUGAGAUCGUUCCUGGAGGGCAUCAAAUACACUUCGAAUAAUAAUAAUACAUAAUGGAAUUAUGAAUAUUUUAUG
rnacentral:lncRNA from 1 species